CGGGCACGCCGCGCACUCCGGGGUGCGUGCGGAACACUCCGCCGCUGCCGGUACCCGCGGUCUCCCUGGGAUCCUCGGAGUGGAAACGGGAUCCUCGGAGCGGAAAUGCCCGCGGGAAGACGGUUCUUUUUGCUGCCGAGCGGAGGGAGCGGGGGCUGCUGUCCCUGCGUCAGGCGGCCCAGCCGGUGUCAUCGCAGGCGCUCCCUCGUGCGGGAUUUUUGCGUCAGGAACCGCUUCCCAAAGAGCUGUGGCGAUGGAGCAGAUCCUGCAGCCCCGUCGGGCAUGACCUGGCCCGCGGGGAGGUGUUCCUCAACCGUCCUCGUUAGUAUAGUGGGAUGUCUCUGAUUUCCGACGGAGCAACACCAUUCGGUUUUCCGUGUGCGAACCAGGGCGUUCCUGUCUUUUUGAGGGCUGCCUGAGGACCGCAUCAGGCUCUGUACGCUGCAGUGCCCACAGCGCUGCGGGGCCUGGCGGGGUCUCGGUCCCUCCCCGCACGGGGGCCAGCCCAGCGCGGACCUGGCCGGCGGGCAGGGGAGCGAGCGCGGGCACGGGGAUGUAGCUCAGCGGUAGAGCGCAUGCUUUGCAUGUAUGAGGUCCCGGGUUCAAUCCCCGGCAUCUCCACGUGGUCGCUGCUCUUUUUCCUGA